AAAUUGAAGAGUUUGAUCAUGGCUCAGAUUGAACGCUGGCGGCAGGCCUAACACAUGCAAGUCGAACGGUAACAGGAAACAGCUUGCUGUUUCGCUGACGAGUGGCGGACGGGUGAGUAAUGUCUGGGAAACUGCCUGAUGGAGGGGGAUAACUACUGGAAACGGUAGCUAAUACCGCAUAAUGUCGCAAGACUAAAGAGGGGGACC
rnacentral:rRNA from 3 species